GAUGAACGCUGGCGGCGUGCCUAAUACAUGCAAGUCGAGCGAACAGACGAGGAGCUUGCUCCUCUGACGUUAGCGGCGGACGGGUGAGUAACACGUGGAUAACCUACCUAUAAGACUGGGAUAACUUCGGGAAACCGGAGCUAAUACCGGAUAAUAUAUUGAACCGCAUGGUUCAAUAGUUAAAGACGGUUUUGCUGUCACUUAUAGAUUGAUCCGCGCCGCAUUAGCUAGUUGGUAAGGUAACGGCUUACCAAGGCAACGAUGCGUAGCCGAACUGAGAGGGUGAUCGGCCACACUGGAACUGAGACACGGUCCAGACUCCUACGGGAGGCAGCAGUAGGGAAUCUUCCGCAAUGGGCGAAAGCCUGACGGAGCAACGCCGCGUGAGUGAUGAAGGUCUUCGGAUCGUAAAACUCUGUUAUUAGGGAAGAACAAAUGUGUAAGUAACUAUGCACGUCUUGACGGUACCUAAUCAGAAAGCCACGGCUAACUACGUG
rnacentral:rRNA from 1 species